rnacentral:misc_RNA from 1 species
GAUGAAGAACGUAGCGAAAUGCGAUAAGUAAUGUGAAUUGCAGAAUUCAGUGAAUCAUCGAAUCUUUGAACGCACAUUGCGCCCGCCAGUAUUCUGGCGGGCAUGCCUGUUCGAGCGUCAUUACAACCCUCAGGCCCCCGGGCCUGGCGUUGGGGAUCGGCGGAGCCCACCGUGGGCACACGCCGUCCCCCAAAUGCAGUGGCGGUCCCGCCGCAGCUUCCAUCGCGUAGUAGCUAACACCUCGCGACUGGAGAGCGGCGCGGCCACGCCGUAAAACACCCAACUCUUCUGAAGUUGACCUCGAAUCAGGUAGGAAUACCCGCUGAACUUAAGCAUAUCAAUAAGCGGAGGA